GGGCGCGAUGGCCAGACCUCUACGGGAAGGGAGCCUCGGCGAGCCCCCAGCCCCGUUACCAGCCCACCCUGCCUGCGGGGGGGGGGGAAGGGGACGGAGGGGGGGGGCUUUACCUUUACCCCCCCCUCCCUUUACCCACCCCCCCACGUUUACACCCCCGUUUGAGCUGCGCCUGUCCCGGGGUUCCCCCUUCACCUCCUGCACCCCAAAACUUCAGCCUCUAUCGCUGUGGGACACGUCGGGACCCCCCCGCUGCUACCCACGAUGAAGCUGAAACUCACGAGGGUCCUUCCCCAAAUGGGGGGGCUCUGGUGGGGGGGGGACGCCCCCCACAGCCCCCCCAAGGCUUGGAGCAGGAGCUGGGAGCUCGGCUGCGCCUCCUGGGUGAUGCUUUUCAGCAGACCUACGAGCAACAGGGGGAAGCUCGGGGUGUGUUUUGGGGUCACCUUUACCGUCUGCUCUGGCAGCUGUUGGGAGCCCGGUACGACCUGCAAGCAGCCAACUGAGCUCGACCCCAACCCAGGACACCAACACACCCCCUUCCCCCCUUUAAAAGAGGGGGGGCCCAGGGGUGUAUCCUGACCCUCUCCCUCCCCCUUUAACCCCCAAAAUGCUGCAUCUCCCUGGGGGAGGGGGCAUUAACCCUUUCCCUCCCUGGGGGAGGGGCAUUAACCCUUUCCCAUCCCUCCCCCCCCCCUUUUAUUUCCCUAUUUAUUUAAUUUAUUGGGGGAGGGGGGAUUUUGGGGGGACACCCUGGGUGUGUCUCAACCCCCCCCGUGUGAAUUGACCCCCCCUUUUCCCCCUAAACAGCCCCCCACCUCCAUAGGGGGCUGCAGACAGUA